rnacentral:rRNA from 1 species
GAUGAACGCUGGCGGCGUGCCUAAUACAUGCAAGUCGAGCGAACGGACGAGAAGCUUGCUUCUCUGAUGUUAGCGGCGGACGGGUGAGUAACACGUGGAUAACCUACCUAUAAGACUGGGAUAACUUCGGGAAACCGGAGCUAAUACCGGAUAAUAUUUUGAACCGCAUGGUUCAAAAGUGAAAGACGGUCUUGCUGUCACUUAUAGGUGGAUCCGCGCUGCAUUAGCUAGUUGGUAAGGUAACGGCUUACCAAGGCAACGAUGCAUAGCCGACCUGAGAGGGUGAUCGGCCACACUGGAACUGAGACACGGUCCAGACUCCUACGGGAGGCAGCAGUAGGGAAUCUUCCGCAAUGGGCGAAAGCCUGACGGAGCAACGCCGCGUGAGUGAUGAAGGUCUUCGGAUCGUAAAACUCUGUUAUUAGGGAAGAACGUAUGUGUAAGUAACUGUGCACAUCUUGACGGUACCUAAUCAGAAAGCCACGGCUAACUACGUGCCAGCAGCCGCGGUAAUACGUAGGUGGCAAGUGUUAUCCGGAAUUAUUGGGCGUAAAGCGCGCGUAGGCGGUUUUUUAAGUCUGAUGUGAAAGCCCACGGCUCAACCGUGGAGGGUCAUUGGAAACUGGAAAACUUGAGUGCAGAAGAGGAAAGUGGAAUUCCAUGUGUAGCGGUGAAAUGCGCAGAGAUAUGGAGGAACACCAGUGGCGAAGGCGACUUUCUGGUCUGUAACUGACGCUGAUGUGCGAAAGCGUGGGGAUCAAACAGGAUUAGAUACCCUGGUAGUCCACGCCGUAAACGAUGAGUGCUAAGUGUUAGGGGGUUUCCGCCCCUUAGUGCUGCAGCUAACGCAUUAAGCACUCCGCCUGGGGAGUACGACCGCAAGGUUGAAACUCAAAGGAAUUGACGGGGACCCGCACAAGCGGUGGAGCAUGUGGUUUAAUUCGAAGCAACGCGAAGAACCUUACCAAAUCUUGACAUCCUUUGACAACUCUAGAGAUAGAGCUUUCCCCUUCGGGGGACAAAGUGACAGGUGGUGCAUGGUUGUCGUCAGCUCGUGUCGUGAGAUGUUGGGUUAAGUCCCGCAACGAGCGCAACCCUUAAGCUUAGUUGCCAUCAUUAAGUUGGGCACUCUAAGUUGACUGCCGGUGACAAACCGGAGGAAGGUGGGGAUGACGUCAAAUCAUCAUGCCCCUUAUGAUUUGGGCUACACACGUGCUACAAUGGACAAUACAAAGGGCAGCGAAACCGUGAGGUCAAGCAAAUCCCAUAAAGUUGUUCUCAGUUCGGAUUGUAGUCUGCAACUCGACUACAUGAAGCUGGAAUCGCUAGUAAUCGUAGAUCAGCAUGCUACGGUGAAUACGUUCCCGGGUCU